AAAUCAUCAUCCCGCCGGGUCCUGCCCGGCGGGGUUGGAGUUGGGUGUUGCCCUUUGCGGGCUCGCCUUAAAUGUAUCGGCGGCCGUCCCGGUCCGUUGUGUGGCGUGAUACGUUUCGCUGUGCGGCGGGCCGGUGGCCUCCUUGAAACCGCCACCUCGUGUGGAAGCAUC
rnacentral:misc_RNA from 1 species